rnacentral:lncRNA from 1 species
GAUAAGGUCAAUCCAGCAGUGCAUAGGGAUUUUCGACCAGUGAUAAAGCGAAUGAAAGAAAUAUCAUAUGAAAAAGAAGGGACAAAAACAAGAAAGUUUCACAAGCAGUUUAAAUUCCCAGUUAUUCAAUUGCAGUUCUAGGGGAAUUCCAUCUCUAUUAAGCCUUCCCUUACAUCACCAUCGCCUUCCAUUCAUUCUGCAUUCGAUCCAGUAGAAGUUGGAAUUGCAGUGAAAGAUGUAGUUUCUUUUUAGCCAUUGCAUGCGACAACUAGUCGAGAAAAAUAAGGAAAGAAAGCCUAAGCGAGACAAGAAGGAAUUAAGGAGCUAUUCCCGUAGUGACAUUAGCGUCUUUCUUUAGAUUAGAACAUUCGGACAUUGUAUACUCUCCUCCAAUAAAGGACUAGGAAAAAAGACUUACAUUCCCGGAUAAGCAGAAAGUCUAGGAAGAUAUCAACCAUGGAUGGAAGGUCUCCUGUAAGCUAGAAGGUCCUACUAAGUGGUCUAAGUCGAAUCCCUUCCUUGAAUG